AGUUCCAAUAGCGUAUAUUAAAGUUGUUGCAGUUAAAAAGCUCGUAGUUGAAUUUCUGGCUGGAAGGGAGCGGUUCCGCACUUUUGUGGAUACUUGCUCGUCUUCUGCCAUCCUUGGGCUUAGUCUCGCUGAUAUUAACUUAUCGGUGUGUACGAUGCCCAUCGUUUACUGUGAGCAAAUUAGAGUGUUCAAAGCAGGCUUAUGCCGUUGAAUAUAUUAGCAUGGAAUAAUAAGAUAGGACCUAGUGACUAUUUUGUUGGUUUGCGUUAUUAGGUAAUGAUUAAGAGGGACAGUUGUGGGUAUUCGUAUUCAGGUGUAAGAGGUGAAAUUCUUAGAUUAUCGGAAGACGAACGACUGCGAAAGCAUUUACCAAGGAUGUUU
rnacentral:rRNA from 1 species